rnacentral:tRNA from 1 species
GCCUUCUGGCUGAGUGGUUUAAGGUGAUCGCCUGUGAGCGAGUGCAUCUCUGAUGCCGAAGGUUCAAAUCCUUCACAAGGAA